rnacentral:rRNA from 1 species
UACGAAGGGGGCUAGCGUUGCUCGGAAUUACUGGGCGUAAAGGGCGCGUAGGCGGACAUUUAAGUCAGGGGUGAAAUCCCAGAGCUCAACUCUGGAACUGCCUUUGAUACUGGGUGUCUUGAGUGUGAUAGAGGUAUGUGGAACUCCGAGUGUAGAGGUGAAAUUCGUAGAUAUUCGGAAGAACACCAGUGGCGAAGGCGACAUACUGGAUCAUUACUGACGCUGAGGAGCGAAAGCGUGGGGAGCGAACAGG